AGUGAACGCUGGCGGUAGGCCUAACACAUGCAAGUCGAACGGCAGCACAGUAAGAGCUUGCUCUUACGGGUGGCGAGUGGAGGACGGGUGAGGAAUACACCGGAAUCUACUUUUUCGUGGGGGAUAACGUAGGGAAACUUACGCUAAUACCGCAUACGACCUACGGGUGAAAGCAGGGGAUCUUCGGACCUUGCGCGAUUGAAUGAGCCGAUGUCGGAUUAGCUAGUUGGCGGGGUAAAGGCCCACCAAGGCGACGAUCCGUAGCUGGUCUGAGAGGAUGAUCAGCCACACUGGAACUGAGACACGGUCCAGACUCCUACGGGAGGCAGCAGUGGGGAAUAUUGGACAAUGGGCGCAAGCCUGAUCCAGCCAUACCGCGUGGGUGAAGAAGGCCUUCGGGUUGUAAAGCCCUUUUGUUGGGAAAGAAAAGCAGCAGGUUAAUACCCCGCUGUUCCGACGGUACCCAAAGAAUAAGCACCGGCUAACUUCGUG
rnacentral:rRNA from 1 species